rnacentral:rRNA from 1 species
UCCUACGGGAGGCAGCAGUGGGGAAUAUUGCACAAUGGGCGAAAGCCUGAUGCAGCCAUGCCGCGUGUGUGAAGAAGGCCUUCGGGUUGUAAAGCACUUUCAGUCAGGAGGAAAGGGUNUUAGUUAAUACCUCAUAUGCUGUGACGGUACNGACAGAAGAAGCACCGGCUAACUCCGUGCCAGCAGCCGCGGUAAU